UACGUAGGGUGCGAGCGUUGUCCGGAAUUACUGGGCGUAAAGAGUUCGUAGGCGGUUUGUCGCGUCGUGUGUGAAAUCCCGCAGCUCAACUGCGGGCUUGCAGGCGAUACGGGCAGACUUGAGUACUGCAGGGGAGACUGGAAUUCCUGGUGUAGCGGUGAAAUGCGCAGAUAUCAGGAGGAACACCGGUGGCGAAGGCGGGUCUCUGGGCAGUAACUGACGCUGAGGAGCGAAAGCGUGGGGAGCGAACAGG
rnacentral:rRNA from 1 species